AACCAUGGUUAAGGAACUCGGCAAAAUGCCCCCGUAACUUCGGGAGAAGGGGGGCCCGGAUCCGUGAACCACUUGCUGGGGUAGCGGUGAUGGCCGCAGAGACCAGGCCCAAGCGACUGUUUACUAAAAACACAGGUCCGUGCGAAGUUGUAAGACGAUGUAUACGGACUGACUCCUGCCCGGUGCUGGAAGGUUAAGAGGACCUGUUAGGCAGUGCCGAAGCGGAGAAUUUAAGCCCCAGUAAACGGCGGUGGUAACUAUAACCAUCCUAAGGUAGCGAAAUUCCUUGUCGGGUAAGUUCCGACCUGCACGAAUGGAGUAACGACUUGGGCGCUGUCUCAACCGUGGACUCGGCGAAAUUGCACUACGAGUAAAGAUGCUCGUUACGCGCGGCAGGACGGAAAGACCCCGGGACCUUUACUAUAGCUUGGUAUUGGUGUUUGGUUCGGCUUGUGUAGGAUAGGUGGGAGACUGUGAAGCGGACGCCAGUUUCGGUGGAGUCACGUUGAAAUACCACUCUGAUCGUACUGGAUAUCUAACCUCGGUCCGUAUCCGGUCAGGGACAGUGCCUGGUGGGUAGUUUAACUGGGGCGGUUGCCUCCCAAAAAGUAACGGAGGCGCUCAAAGGUUCCCUCAGCCUGGUUGGCAAUCAGGUGUCGAGUGUAAGUGCACAAGGGAGCUUGACUGUGAGACGACAGUCGAGCAGGGACGAAAGUCGGAACUAGUGAUCCGGCAGUGGC
rnacentral:ncRNA from 1 species